rnacentral:rRNA from 1 species
AGAUACCCCACUAUGCCUGGCCCUAAAUCUUGAUGCUCCACCUUACCUGAGCAUCCGCCCGAGAACUACGAGCACAAACGCUUAAAACUCUAAGGACUUGGCGGUGCCCCAAACCCACCUAGAGGAGCCUGUUCUGUAAUCGAUGAUCCACGAUAUUACCUGACCAUUUCUUGCCCAAAACAGCCUAUAUACCGCCGUCGCCAGCUCACCUUCCCUGACAGCCCAACAGUGAGCGCAAUAGCCCUACUACGCUAGUAAGACAGGUCAAGGUAUAGCCUAUGGAAUGGAAGCAAUGGGCUACAUUUUCUAAAUUAGAACAUACGGCAAAGGGACUUGAAACUGUCCCUGGAAGGAGGAUUUAGCAGUAAAGUGGGACAAUCGAGCCCUCUUUAAGCCGGCUCUGGAGCACGUACACACCGCC